CAGAUUAUACCAUGCCUGUAUCAAUGGCUUGGGAAAUAGUUGAUACUAUACCCGCUUCACCGUUACCUGUACCAGACAUAAAUGGAUUACCAUAUUGCUCACGGUAUGCCGUAACAGCCCCAGUACCAGAAUCUGUAUCUAUUAAUGAUCUAGCCUAUACCCUAGACUGUGCUGACCCGGAUGGGGACACACUUACGUAUAAAAUAAUUCGCGGAGAUCCGUUUAAAAAGUUUAAAAUGGAGGGAGAAUUAAUGAAAUUAAAUAAAGAACUGAAUGCAGAUACCAGAGAUAGCUUUCAUGUACGAAUAACCGCCACUGAUGAUAGUACUAUGGCAUUUGUUUCCACGGUAACAGUAGCUAUACGUAUUACUAAUAUCAAUGACAAUGCCCCGUACAUCGUGGGUUUGCCCGCGACCAUUGAAGUCAGCGAGAAUGAACCAUUUGGUGCCGCGUAUAGUAUUUGUAACGUCACUGAUAAAGACUCCGCC